GUUUGAUCCUGGCUCAGAUUGAACGCUGGCGGCAUGCUUUACACAUGCAAGUCGAACGGCAGCGGGGGCUUCGGCCUGCCGGCGAGUGGCGAACGGGUGAGUAAUGCAUCGGAACGUGCCCAUGUCGUGGGGGAUAACGUAGCGAAAGCUACGCUAAUACCGCAUACGCCCUGAGGGGGAAAGCGGGGGAUUCUUCGGAACCUCGCGCGAUUGGAGCGGCCGAUGUCGGAUUAGCUAGUAGGUGGGGUAAAGGCCCACCUAGGCGACGAUCCGUAGCGGGUCUGAGAGGAUGAUCCGCCACACUGGGACUGAGACACGGCCCAGACUCCUACGGGAGGCAGCAGUGGGGAAUUUUGGACAAUGGGCGCAAGCCUGAUCCAGCCAUGCCGCGUGAGUGAAGAAGG
rnacentral:rRNA from 1 species